AAUGAACGCUGGCGGCGUGCCUAAUACAUGCAAGUCGAGCGAACGGACGAGAAGCUUGCUUCUCUGAUGUUAGCGGCGGACGGGUGAGUAACACGUGGAUAACCUACCUAUAAGACUGGGAUAACUUCGGGAAACCGUAGCUAAUACCGGAUAAUAUUUUGAACCGCAUGGUUCAAAAGUGAAAGACGGUCUUGCUGUCACUUAUAGAUGGAUCCGCGCUGCAUUAGCUAGUUGGUAAGGUAACGGCUUACCAAGGCAACGAUGCAUAGCCGACCUGAGAGGGUGAUCGGCCACACUGGAACUGAGACACGGUCCAGACUCCUACGGGAGGCAGCAGUAGGGAAUCUUCCGCAAUGGGCGAAAGCCUGACGGAGCAACGCCGCGUGAGUGAUGAAGGUCUUCGGAUCGUAAAACUCUGUUAUUAGGGAAGAACAUAUGUGUAAGUAUCUGUGCACAUCUUGACGGUACCUAAUCAGAAAGCCACGGCUAACUACGUG
rnacentral:rRNA from 1 species